rnacentral:rRNA from 1 species
UACAGAGGGGGCAAGCGUUAUUCGGAAUUAUUGGGCGUAAAGGGCGCGUAGGCGGCUUGGCAAGUGGAAGGUGAAAUCCCUCGGCUUAACCGAGGAACUGCCCUCCAAACUGCUUCGCUUGAGACCGGGAGAGGUGAGUGGAAUUCCCAGUGUAGCGGUGAAAUGCGUAGAUAUUGGGAGGAACACCAGUGGCGAAGGCGGGUUGCUGGGCUGACACUGACGCUGAGGCGCGAAAGCUAGGGGAGCGAACGGG